rnacentral:rRNA from 1 species
CAAAAACAUUUUUUAAUGAUUAUUAUAUUAAAUAAAGCUGCUCCAUGAAAUAAAUAGCCGCAGAAAAUUUACUGUGCUAAGGUAGCAUAAUCACUUGCCUCUUAACUGGAGACUAGAAUGAACGACUAAACAAUUAAUUCAUUUUUUUAAAUACUUAAUAAUAAUCUAUACUGAAUAUUAAAAUAUAUUCAUUCAUUUAAAAGACGACAAGACCCUAUCGAACUUAACUGCAGUUUAGCUGGGGAAGCUUUUUAAUAAAUAUUUUAGAUAAAUAAUUAAUAUAAAAACCCAAUAAAAUUGAACCCUAAUCAAGUUACCGUAGGGAUAACAGCGUAAUUAUUCUUUAAAGCUCAUAUUAAAAGAAAAGAUUACGACCUCGAUGUUGAAUUAAUUUUACUUACUAGCGCAAGCGCCUAAAAAGUAAGUCUGUUCGACUUUUAAAAAAUUACAUGAUCUGAGUUAAAACCGGAGA